CGCAGUGUGAGUCCUAUGGGUAUAUUAAUUUAUGCCCUUUAUGACCUUUGACUAUGUCAAGAAGUGAUGGCUCAAUGAUGGCUACUUUUGCUUAUUGCCUAUGGCCAUGGAUGAUUCGGUCUAAAGGGACAAUGCUUGGAAAGCGAUUGAGUUGGAGCAAAGUGGCAUGAGGGAAAAAGGAAGAUCAUCUAAUAAUACAUCAUGUUUUAUACAAGACAAGUUAUGUCGCUAUUAAGCAUAGUGACAUAAUCGUGAGUGGAUUACAUAGCAGGGUUAAGCAUAGCUCUUAGAGGUGUUAGAGAUGCUUAGUCCGACAUGGUCAAAUAGGUCUGGGGCGUAAUGAGCACUUAUUUUUAGGGAUAUCCCUAUGCUGGUCCUUUUUAUAGAUUCGAUGUUGGGUUUCCGACUUGCAGUUGUACUUGGAGGCCGCACGACACAUUAGUUGUAUGAAUGGAGUCAAUAAUGGGUUUGAUGAGAGAGAUUCACAAUAACCUUAUGUCCAUUAAUGUACGAGUCGGGGAUGUUGGACUUGAAUUCCGAUCCAAAUCGGGCCGCCCAUCAGCAAACCUGGCCUAGUUGGAGAAAUAAGCUACAUGGGAUAGAGUGGUAGUUAUCCACUCUAUCCAUGAUGGGCUAGUGGGGUUGAAAACUAUCAGGUAGUUUUCCUCCACAUUUUAAGUAUAAGA
rnacentral:lncRNA from 1 species